GAAAAGGUGGCAUGAUUGUGGGGAGGCGUGAAACGAGGGGAAGAAACAUGUGUAGGGGAAAGGAAAGGCAUGGGGAGUGUGACAGGAGUCCCAGUGGGCAGGUGGUGGGGGUUGGGAGAGCAAGAACUUUUCCCACAUCCCUGGUUCUGUUUGGGGGUUUUUCUGUCCCUGGCUGGAAGUAGCCUUGGCCAUGUCCAUGAGAACAGUCCUUGACUCAUGGCCUCUCUUCUCUGGGUUGUUCAGAACUGUAACGUGUGUGUGCAGGGAAAUGGGUACGGGUCACUAGAAUUAAUUUGCAUGUAAUCUGGUCAAUUUUCACAGACUGCACACACUGAAGAGAAAGCAGAAGCGUAGAGAAACCCCAAGAAUCCUGUGUGCUCUAUUCCAGCCUGUCCAAGAUUCUGAUACCUCAUAACCCUUCUGGAAGCAAUGGCCUUUGCGGGCCUCUGUCCCGCCAGCAGACCAAGCCUGCUUGAAGGCACAGUCCUCUUCUUUGGCCGCUCUGAAAGACUGCACCUCAGGACCGGGUCCCUGUGUCAGGAACAGAAAGGUUCUUUCUGUGGAGAGUUUGGCCGCGGUGGCCUUCCUGUCACUGGGCUGCACACAUGGAGGAGAAAGCAGAAGCUUAGAGAACCCCCAAGAAUCCUUCUCUGUGCUCUGUUCCAGCCUGCCCCCAGAUUCUGACACCUCAUAGUCUUGUGUCCUGAUUCACACCAGUCGGGAGUCUUGAGCUGUUGGGGGAGUCUGAGGAGGACACCUGGCUACCCUGUGACUGGAGCUGACUUUUAAGAGGGACCCUGAGACACCCAUGGUGGACUUUUGAGUGCUGCCUCACGUUGGAGCUGAGUGCUUCCUGCUGGGACCGCGUGAUCUUCCUGGGAUGCCAGGGUGGCACAGCAACCCAUGGUGCUCUGGAUGCUCUUGCUGAAUCUGUGUGUAGCUUAGAAGCGUCAUGGAGCUCUUCAUUGGAACAUGUGCUAAGCCCUGGCUCUAAGAACAAGGAGGUGAGCAGCCAAGAGCAAUACUUGCAGGAAGGGCCAGGCUGCCAGUGUCAGAGGAGUGGCAGUAGAUUCAACAGGACCCUCAGGUUUGUCCAUCCUCACCUGGUGAGUCUUCUUGAAAUGCUUGUGCAUAUAAUUCAUAUACUUCUAUAUUAUAAAUUUAAUAUCAUAUGUUCUAAAUAGAUUUUAAAUUUUAUAUUUAAAACAUAUAUGUGCUUGGAGGUAUCAUGUACAGUUCCAGGAGGUGUGAGCCUACCUGGCUAAAUUCUGAUGCCAGGAUAGGUGAACCAGCAGGUGAGUCAUCUUCUUUUGGGUAGGCAAUUUAGAUGCCCAGCAACUAUGUGAAUUUCCAGGUCUCUUGUUUUAUUUUCUGGAUUUAUAGUUCUACUUAGUGUAUAGGAGCUGAGAAAAUGGAUCUGGUCACCAAAACGGUAGUUCCUGCUUGCAAGAUUUGCUUCCUGUUUUUCCUAAUUUGCUUAGAUGGUUUAUCUCAGUUUUCAUUAAGGGUUCUCCAACACAGCAGUGAUAGCAUUGAGUGAUAACCCCAAAAAGAUGGUUGUAUAUUGUUGUCACUGCCCCACUGAAUUCUAAUUCUGCCUCUGUGAUAUCCAGUGUUCCCUAAUUUUAUGAAAAAGUUCCUGAGGAAUACAUUGUUCUGUUGUGUUAAUGAAUAUGGUUAUAUGGGGAGACAUAUCAUGUAAAAUUUACAUAUCCCAAUCAUAUUAUUGCAUUAACUAGGCAUAUGGGGACUCUGUUUAUCAUCAGAGGCACCUAGAUCCGAGGAUGGCACCGAAAUUUCUAGUAGUAAGCAUUACUUCCUAAGUAUAUUCGUUUCAGUUAUAAAACUGUAAGGUUCUGAAUAACUCAGUAGAGGUUCUUUUUACUUCUAAAUUAGAUUUUGAAAUAUUGAAAUCAUUUGGAUUAUGAUAUUUCUAGACCAUUUUUAGGUCUGAGAAGGCAGGGGCAUUGUUUCUGCACAGUAUCCACAAUGGUUGCCAUAUAAUUGGUUCUAAAACUUCAGUUGAUGAAAUGAAAUCCCUAUUUGUCCCUGUGUUUCAAACAACACAAAAUUUCAAAAUCUGUAGGUAUUGUGUUCUGUGGUUUGGUUCUUACAGUAUGUGGUGAAUUAAGUCUUCCUUCCUUCUGGUUAGCAGUUACUAGUGUUGACACCCAGGGAUCAUUCCUUGAUCCUCAUUGUAUGAGAUGCUGACCAGUGACUACUCUGAAACAGCCCCUUGGUGCAAGUCCUCAUGGAUGUUCCAGUUUACUCAGUAUCCGCUCUUGGUGUUCCUGUUAGUGCUGAUUGUUCAAAUCUAGAAGUUGAAAUGACCUCAUGUUAAGUCCAGGUGUUUGUUCUCACUGGUCUUCCCAUCCUAGACAGCCUUAUCUCUGUACUGUGUUUCAGGAAGGUCUUGGCUUUUACUCCCAUCAUUAGCUAGACCUGUUAAUAUUGCCCACAGUUUUCUCGUUUUGGCUAUUUUAGAGCUUGGUUCCUUGAUUCCAUAAUUCUUUUCUCUUACACACAACACAACAAGAAAAAUCUGUUCUUUUGUUUUCUCAUGCUCCCCAUCCACAGAUGUUCUCUGAUAACAGUCACCAGGCAUCUCAAAGGCUGGCUGGUCCCUACACCCUUCUCAAAGCCACAUGAAUAUGUGAUUCUUUUGCUUUUCACUUUUAUGUCUCAAUUCUGUCACGUUUUCCACACCUCUGCUCCUGUGACCACCAUAAAACUUUAGCAUUUCCCACAAAAAUCCUCGGCUAGCAAUUUCUAAUGUACUACUAAUAAGAAGUUAAAAUAUAGAAACUUUCUGGGGAGAUUCCAAAAUUCGAGUGGUUUAUGCCAAACAUCUUAAGAUGCUUUUCCUCUGUUUAAUGAAAGUCAUAUCUCUGGGGGUAAACUAGAUGGAGAGUUUGCUGCAAACAAUGCCUUUGUUUCACCUUUAUACAAUUUUGUUUGUGAGUUAUGUAGGCCUCAAUAAUUAUGAAUGGAAAAACUGAAACUGUGACUUGCAGUUCAAUAUUGCAAAUAUUAUAAAGCUUUCUACUGAAGUGCUGUAGUGAGAGAACAGGCAUGGAGUCCAGGAAAUCCUUCAAUGAAUUGGUAUAUGUGUAGUUUUCAGAGUGCUGCUUUCAAAGACAUUUAAACUUUGUAAACAUUUUCUUACAUAUGACUUUAAAUUUAAAAUUGCUGCUUCAACAGACACUAUGUGAUUGGUAACCCCUCCUACACUAAUGAAUCACCUUGCUUGAUUUCCCCACCUGAUUACUGUGGAAGAUGACAUGUGAGUGUCAAAUGGGGAAAGAAAGGUUUUUUAAGAUUUAUUUAACUAUUUGAAAGACAGAGAUAUAGAGAGGCAGGGGCAGAGAGAGAGUCUGCUGGGUCACUCCCCGUAGGGCCACAAUUGCCAGAGCUGAGCUGAUAUGUAGCCAGGAGCCUGGAGCUUCUUCUGGGUCUCUCACGUGGGUGCAGGGGCCCAAGCACUUGGGCCAUCUUCCACUUUCCUAGGCCAUAUCAGAGAGCUGGAUCGGAAGUGGAGCAGUGGGGACUCAAACCAGUGCUCUUAUGAGAUGCCGGCACUGCAGGCAGAAGCUUUUCCUGCUAUGCCGCAGUGCCGUCCCCAAGAAAUAUUCUUGUGGUAGACUAAUGUUCAUGGUGUAUAGCCCUCUGCUCUGUGCAGGUAGAAUUUGAGUAAUUCUUGGCAGACCCCUAAAUUUUGGAGGUACAUAGGGAUACCAUGAUCAGUGUAAUGGGAUCCACAGUUUUCCAGAGAAAUACUUCAUGAUAUCUGCUGGGGUCCUGCCAUUUAUGAAAAUGGGUUCUAAAGCAACCUGAUCGGUGAAGACAUUGCCACCUAUUGAUCCAGUGAAGCAAGUCCAGUGUGAGCACCCCUGACCCUGGCAGAGGCUCCACCCCUGGUGACUAAGAUGCUGUAGGCCUGUGCUGCUACUCAUUCCAUGGGGAAGGCCCUGCCAUACUGCUGUGAGCAUCCUGGGUUAAUAUUUUGGUAUUGCCAUGUUUUGGUUUGUUCUUCAACUUAAAUACAUGGUAUCUCCAUUUGGUUUGUAUAUUUCCUCUUGCAGUUUUCACAGCUAAAUUUCUUUUUUUAAUAAUUUUUAUUUAUAUAAAGGUGAACAUAGAGCAUGUACUUGGCACCUUUCCCUCCUCUCCCUAGCAUCCUGCCCUCCUUCCUCCUUCCUUUCUUGUGAUUACAAAAUAAACUACAAGAAUUUCAUUGUGAAAAUUAUAGGAAAGUGUAAAUUCUAAACCUUGACAGAACUAACUCCAUAAUGUGUAGCUCCUAGUAGGAACUGAAAAUUGAUUGUGUUGUUUAAAAAUUGUCAUGCAUUUCAAUAUGGAAACCCUAGGAAUUUAGAUUGAGUUUAGGUGAGAAACUACCAUGGUGCCUCCCCAAACGUGUGUUCUCUAUACAUAAUGUGCCCACAACCAAGUGUUGCUUUGAACCAAGGGCCAUAGUGGUCACCAGUGAUGGGAAAUGGAAGGCUUUUUAGGGCAGUGAGCCUGAGGACUGUGACCAAGACCUGUCCCAUUUAGUCAGUGAGAACUCAGACUGUGCACUUGCCCCAUCUUCCUAUCAGACUUCAUUUACAGGAUACAAAUUCAAGUUAAAUCCAGUAGGAAUUUGGAUAGCAGGGAGUGUACUCUUUAGAGUUUGGUACAGUUGCAGUGUCACUGGUCACAUGCUGAUGAAGCAGGGCCUGCAUUUUCAGUUCCAUAGCUUAAUUGGGGAAUUCUCAACCUGCCUGUAAUAUGUAACUGUGUUACAUGCACAUAGGAAUGUACACACCUGGGUGGUAGAAUAACAUAUAGUAAUUUAUAGUUCUCAUUUCACUUUUCACUUUCCUAUUUCCUUCAGAUACACUUCCUUUCCUUUUCUAUUUCUGAGUUUUCAGUUUGAGGGAGGUGAGAUGGCAGUGUAAUAUGUUACUUGGAUAUUGUCUUAAAUAUUCUCUUGAUAGAAAUCCUGAAUCUUUAUUUUCAAAAUAGAAACUGCCUGAAAUUUAGUUUAGUCCUGUUGAAAUCUUUACUUAAUGUAUACUAAGCUGAUCUUCUGUAUAUUAAGAUAAUCGAAAAUGAAUCUUGAUGUGAAUGGAAGGGGAGAGGGAGUGGGAAAGGGGAGGGUUGCGGGUGGGAGGGACGUUAUGGGGGGGAAGCCAUUGUAAUCCAUAAGUCGUACUUUUGAAAUUAUAUUCAUCAAAUAAAAAAAUUAGUUUAGUCAAGUUCAUGAAUAAUUUCUUAAGAUUUAUUUAAUUGAAAGUCCGAGUUACACAGAGAGUGAAAGAGAGGCGGAGAGAGAGGUCUUCUAUCUGCUGGAUCACACCCCAGAUGGUGGCAAUGUCCAGAACUGCGCUGAUCUGAAGCCAGGAACCAGGAGCUUCUUUCAGGUCUGCCACGUGGGUGCAAGGGCCCAAGGACUUGGACCAUCCUUUACUGCUUUCUGAAGCUGUAGCAGAGAGCUGGAUCAGAAAUGGAGCAACUGGGACUGGAACUGGUCCCCAUAUGGGAUGCUGGCAUUGCAUUUGUUGGCCUCACCUGCUAUGCCAAAAUGCCAGCCCAUAUCAUGAAUUAUCUACUUUUUUUUUUCUUUUUUUUAACUUUUAUUUAAUGAAUAUAAAUUUCCAAAGUAUAGCUUUUGGAUUACAAUGGCUUCCCCCCAUAAUGUCCCUCCCACCCUCUACCCUCCCCUUUCCCACUCCCUCUCCCCUUCCAUUCACAUCAAGAUUUAUUUUUGAUUCUCUUUAUAUACAGAAGAUCAGUUUAGCAUACAUUAAGUAAAGAUUUCAACAGUUUGCUCCCACACAGAAACAUAAAGUGAAAAAUAUUGUUUGAGUACUAGUUAUAGCAUUAAAUCUCAAUGUACAGCACACUAAUGACAGAGAUCCUACAUGAGGAGUAAGUGCACAGUGACUCCUGUUGUUGACUUAACAAAUUGACACGCUUGUUUAUGGCCUCAGUAAUCACCCUAGGCUCUUGUCAUGAGCUGCCAAGGCUAUGGAAGCCCCCUGAGUUCACCGACUGUGAUCAUAUUUAGACAAGGCCAUGGUCAAAGUGGAAGUUCUCUCCUCCCUUCAGAGAAAGGUACCUCCUUCUUUGAUGACACGUUCUUUCCACUGGGAUCUCACUCGCGGAGAUCUUUCAUUUAGGUUUUUUUUUUUUUUUUUUCCCCCAGAGUGUCUUGGCUUUCCAUGCCUGAAAUACUCUCAUGGGCUUUUCACCUGGAUCCACAUGCCUUAAGGGCUGAUUCUGAGGCCAGAGUGCUGUUUAGGACAUCUGCCAUUCUAUGAGUCUGCUGUGUAUCUCACUUCCCAUGUUGGAUCAUUCUCUCCCUUUUUGAUUCUAUCAGCUAGUAUUUGCAGACACUAUUCUUGUUUAUGUGAUCCCUUUGGUUCUUAUUCCUAUCAUUAUGAUCAAUUGUGAACAGAAAUUGAUCACUGGGACUAGUGAGAUGGCCUUGGUACAUGCCACCUCGAUGGGAUUGAAUUGGAAUCCCCUGGUAUGUUUCUAACUCUACCAUUUGAGGUAAGUCAGCUUGAGCAUGUCCUGAAUUGCACAUCUCUUCCCUCUCUUAUUCCCACUCUUAUAUUUAACAGUGAUCACUUUUCAGUUAAGUUUUAGCACUUAAGAAUAAUUGUGUAUUGAUUACAGUAUUCAACCAAAAGUAUUAAGUAGAACAAACAAAAAAAAUACUAAGAGGGAUAACAUAUUAAGUUGCUCAUCAACAGUCAGCGUGAGGGCUGAUCAAGUCAUCGUUUCUCAUAGUGUUCAUUUCACUUUAACAGGUUUCCUUUUUGGUGUUCAGUUAGUUGUCACCUAUCAAGGAGAACAAGUGGUAUUUGCCCCUUUGGGAUUGGCUUAUUUCACUCAACAUAAUGUUUUCCAAAUUCCUAACAGGGAUCACUUUUCAGUUAAAAUUUAAACACCUAAGAAUAAUUGUGUGUUAAUUACAGAGUUCAACCAAUGGUACUAGAACAAAAAAAAUACUAAAACCGAUAAAGUAUUACAUUGUACAUCAACUGUCAGUACAAGAGCUGAUCAAGUCACUGUUUCUCAUAGUGUCCAUUUCACUUCAACAAGUUUCCCCUUUUGUGCUCAGUUAGUUGUCGCCGAUCAGUGAGAACAUAUGAUACUUGUCCCUUUGGGACUGGUUUAAUUCACUCAGCAUGAUGUUUUCCAAAUUCCUCCAUCUUGUUGCAAAUGAUUGGGUUUCGUUGUUUUUGACUGCUGUAUAGUAUAGUCUACGGCCAUACCAUCCUGAACGCACCCGAUCUCGUCUGAUCAUGAAUGUUUUAAAAAUCAUUUCUAGCCCAUGAAGCCUACCAAAACCCCACAAUAUUAACCUAAGUUUUUAAAUUUUUAUUUGCAUUUUAAGUAUAGGAAUCUAUUUUUGCAUGCGUUAUUUUCUAGCCUUAUAACAGUAUAAGUGAGAAACAAAAAUUGUAUAUAUUCAAGGCACACAAUAUGUGUUUCUAUAUGAGUCUGAUCUAUAUAUUGCGUUUUCACACAAACCUUUCGACUCUCCUGGUUCUUACAAUACAGUAUGAAAGGAUUAGUACAGUGAAGCUACUUAACAAAUUUAUCACUCUUACUGUAUUUCUUAAACUUAUCUCAUUUUAUUUAUGUAUUUUCCCAGAAAGCUUUUUUUAAGGUACACGUAUUUUAUGCAUUCAAUAAAUACAUCUUUAGCAGCAUAGUAAUUCUUCCUACCAUAUCUGCCCUCUCACUUACACUCCUAUCAUUUUCAUAGUGUUUUUUUUAAGAAUACUGACCUAGGAAAUUACAAGUACAGAAUAUAGUGUGAACUGGUUACCUGGGGUAUGUAUUAGAUUUUUAAAACUUAGCUCAUAAUUGUAAAUUUGAUUUUUGUAAGAUUUAUUUGAAAGGCAGGGGCCAGCGCUGUGGCUCACUUUGUUAAUCCACUGCCUGCGACGCCGGCAUCCCAUAUGGGCACCAGGUUCUAGUCCUGGUUGCUCCUCUUCCAUUCCAGCUCUCUGCUGUGGCCCGGGAGGGCAGUGGAGGAUGGCCCAAGUGCUUGGGCCCUGCAAUCGCAUGGGAGACCUGGAGGAAGCACCUGCCUCCUGGCUUUGGAUCAGUGCAGCACCAGCUGUAGAGGCCAUUUUGGGGGGUGAACCAAUGGAAGGAAGACCUUUCUCUGUCUCUCUCUCUCCUGUCUAUAACUCCACCUGUCACAAAAAAAAUAUAGAAAGGCAGGAAAGAGAGAAGAGAGUAAGACAGAGACAGAGAGAGAGGAUGAGGGAUAUCUCAUCUCAUGCAUUAUUUCACUCCUCAAAUGUCCUCAGUGGCAGGGCUGUCCCCAGGUCUCCCGCUUUGGCACAGGGGCCCAAGUUGUGGGGUCAUCUUCUAGUGCUUUGCCAGGCACAUUAGCAGGGAGGUGAAUGGGAAGUGGAGCAUCUGGGACUCGGUCUUGUGCCCAUAUGGGAUGCUGGCAGUCCAGGUGGAAGCUCAGGCUUUUAAAAACACCCCAGCUCCAGCACCAUAACCAUGUAUUUGUACCUUGUGACUAACAUCUCUUCAUUUUCAUGCUUCCAGUUCAUCACAAACACCAUCCUGCUCCCUGUGUUAGUUUGACUUUUGUAUAUUCCACAUGUAAGUGUGCUCAUGUAGUAUUUCUUAUUUCUGUGUCUUGUUUCACUCAUUGUAAUGUCCUAUAGUUCCAUACUUUUGGAUCCAUCUUGUGACAAGUUAAAGUAGUAUUCCCUUUCUUUUUAAGGUUGGCGAGGAUUCCACUGUGUGUGUAUCCCAUUUUACCUUAUGGGUCCAUCAGCAAACAUUUGGGUUAUUUCCAUAUCAUGGAAUUGUGAAUGAUGCUGAAGUGAAUGUGGGGGUGCAGACAGUUCUUUGAGAUGGUGAUUUUCUUUUGAAUUCAUGGCUAUUAAAGGUUGUUCCUUUUUAAAUUUCAUUUGAGGAACUUCCAUAUUGCUUUUCAUAGUGGACGGUACAAUUUACAUUCCCUCCAAUACUGUGCUUUCUGUUUUAUCUACAUUUUGCCCAAUACUUGUUAUCUUUUAACUUUUUAAUAGUAGCCAUUUAACAGAUAUGAGGUGAUAACCAUUGUCAUCUUGAUUUGCAUUAUGCGGAUGAUAGCAAUGUUCAGAACUUUUUCACAUACCCACUGGGUACAUUGUAUGUCUUUGUUGGAAAACAUUGAUUCAGUCCUUUGUCCUUUUUUAAUUGUGUUCUUUGCUUCUUAGUGGUAUGCUUGUAUUACUCCCUUGAUCACACAUCUGGUUUGCUAAUAUUUUCUCAUAUUCAUUGGUUUGCCUUUCAUUUCAUUGAUCUUUGCUUGACUGCUUUUUGUUGUAAUUUCAUUUCCUUAUAUUUGCUUUUGCUCUCUGUGCUUUAGUUGCUAACACAUAAGCAACCACUCUUGAGGCUAAUGUCAAGGACUUUUCUAUUUUAUAAGUUGUAAGUGUUCAGAUCUUCUGUGUGGACUUGCAGUUCAUUUUGAGUUGAUUUUAAUAUGUGGUGUAACAAUGAUGCAGUUUCAGUUUUGGACAUGUGGUUAUCCAGGUUGCUUCUGCCUCAGAUGUGGGCCUUUAUGUCCAGUGACUGCAUGUUUGGUAACCCUGAUGGGCCAGGAUUUCCCGUGUCUUCAGUUGGAUCCAUUAAACCAGAUGCUGUGGCUGGAGUUGAUCAGGAGCUUGGCAUGUGUGGUGAUUUGGGAGUAGAGACCAUGCAGUGAUGGGGUCAAGACAAGGGACUGUGGCCGCCUCCUCUGGAAGCCAGGGCUAUAUGAGGGUAUGUCCGAAAGUUUUUUGAAGGGUAGACAUUUGGCAUAAUGGGAAGGACAAUGCUCAGGAUACCAGUGGCAGCCAGUGAUGGCUUAAGUAGUUGGAUUCUUGCUACCACAUUGGAGACCAUCUCCCAGCUUCAGCCUGGGUCAGAUCAGCCCUGAGUAUUUUGGGCAUUCAGGUAAUGAACUACUAGAUGGGUUGUGUCUUUAUCUCUCUCUCUCUCUCUCUUCUUCUCUCUCUCUCUCCCUUCCUCCCACCUACCUCCCCCUCCCCCUUAUUAAUUCUCUGUUUUGCUUUUGAAACCAAUUGCAAUAUUAAAAGUAGGUGGAAAAUGGAUAUGGAUGAUUAUCGCAGUAGCAGUAGAUUACUGAGUAAUUUCCUAGAACCAUACAGGGGGAUGUGUGCAGCUCACAGUGAUCCAUUAUAUUUGUUGUUAGAAAAUGAAAUAAAGGAGCUCAAGGCUCUGUCCAUACAAUAGUGUCGAACGAUUAAUGUAGACUUGGUCCGUACAAAUUUUAUAUGAGUAUUGAAAUGUCACACUAGCCCAUAAAUAUGUACCACUCUUGUUGAUAACAUUUAAGUAAAAAUACCAAUAUGUUAUUAGGUGUAUAAAGUUAAGGGGUUUUAAAUGAUUAAUGUCACAACUAAUAUUAUGGUAUUUGAAAAUGGUUAAUUAAUGCAAGCAAAAACAGAACCUGUAGGUAACUGAACUGUUCUGUCUUGUCAUGUUCAGUCUAAAGGCUACUAUGCUGUGUUUUAAGUUGGUGAUGGACAUUUAUUUGAGAUUGUUUCCUUUAAUUAAGAAAAAUGGUAGUAUGUUUUCAUGUGUAUGUGAAAUUGAAUAGCAAUUGUAUUGCAAUUGAAUGCAGUUGUAUUGCAUCAGAGCAAUACAAUGAAUACAAGAUAAGCUUUUUUUCAUAUUUGAGAUUUUAUUGGUUUUUGAGAAUCACUACAGAGACAUUUCAAUUUGUACACUAUUCUUAACAAGCCAAAAAUUUUAAAAGUGAGGGUUGAUCAUUCUUUUUAAAUCUUUUAUUUUUGAAAUAGUGUAUUUUUUAAUUUAUCUCAGAAGAGCUUUAUAGUCCACUCAAUAAAGAGUUCAGCUAGUAAGGAAGAAUAUAGGCAAGGGCAAUAACAUUAAUCAAACAAAAAAAGUCCUAUCUUUAUGAUCAGUUAUGAACUUAAACUGAUCACUUUAACUAGUAAGAUGGCAUUAAGUGUCAAAGGGAUCAUAUAAAUAAGACCAAGUGUCUGCUAAAAACAAUAGAUAGAAUGAAAAAGGAGAGAAUGAUCCAACAUGGGAAACAGGCUACCCAGCAGACUCAUAGAAUGACAGAUACCCUAAAGAGCACUCUGGCCUUGGAAUCAGCCCUUAAAGCAUUCAGAUCUGGCUAAAAAGCCCAUGAGAGCAUUUCAGGCAUGGAAAGCCAAGACACUUUGGCAAAAAAAUCACUCACAUGAAAGAUCUCUAAGAGUGAGAUCCCAGGGAAAGAAAGGGCCGCCAAAGAGGUCAGUACCUUUCUCUGAAGGGAGGAGGGAACUUCCACUUUGAUUAUGGCCUUGUCUAAAUAAUGUUGGAAUUUGUGGACUCGAGGCUUCCAUAGCCUUGGCAGCUCAUGACCAAGAGCCUAGGGUGAUCACUGAUGUCAAAUAGAAGAGUGUCAGCUGUUAAAUCAACAACAGGUGUCACUGUGCACUUGCUCCCCAUGUAGGACCUCUCUCCUUAAUGUGUUGUACUAUGAAAAUUAACAAUAAAACUAGUCUUCAAACAGUACUUUUAACUUUGUGUGUCUGUGUGGGUGCAGUCUGUUGAAAUCUUUACUUAGUAUAGAGUUGAUAGUCUGUGUAUAAAGAUAAUUAAAAAUGAAUCUCAAUGAAGAAUGGGUUGGAAGAAGGAAUAGGAGUUGGGAUGGUUUGCGGGUGGGAGGGCAGGUAUGGGGGGGAAGACCUGCUAUAAUCCAAAAGUUGUACUUAUGAAAUUUUUAUUUAUUAAAUCAAAGGUUUCUAUAAGAAUGUCUACUACAGUCAUCACACAGUAAAUUUUAAAAUGAGCAUGAAUUAUUAAAAUUAUAGUAGCAUAUCAUUCAUAACAAUUUGACAAAGAUAUAAAAGAAAGUUUGACAAAACUAUAUUUGCAGCAAUACUGAUACACACAGGCAUUAGUUUCUUUUCUGUUUUUCUUUUGUUGUUGUCUGAUUUUUUUAAAAGAAAAUUUUAGCUCCCAUAUAUAAAGGAGAACAUCUAAUAUUUGUCUUUCUUUGUCAGGGUCAUUUCACUGAGCAUGAAAUCCUCCAGUUGCUACGAUUUUGAUGCUGAUAACAGAUUUUAUUUUUUAUAGUUCUGUAAUAUUCAGUUCUACAUAUAUGCAUCGAAUUUUGCCAGCACCACUGAUUGAAUAGAUUAUACUUUUUUCCAGUGCAUAGUUUGAGCAGUUUAAUGGAAAAUCAAUUGGCUCUACCUGUAUGGAUUAAUUAAUUAAUGAAUUUCCACUAUCAUGCUUAUAUUUUAGGUUUAUUUUCAAUAAACCUAAGGUCAUUCUAUUCUUCAAAAGACUUAAACUUUUCCCAAAUAUGUAUUUCAGAAGUGUUUUUCUAAGAAUAAAAUCUCAGAUUGAUGCUAUUUUUGUAUUUAAGGAAUACAAUGUACAUGUGUGGUUAUUGAUGACAGAAUAAAUUAAUAAAUAAACUUAAAAAACAAGAACUCAUGAUUGGAAUAGCCCAUAGCCAAAAGAUAAGAGAGCUUUUAGGAAGCCAAAACAAGAAAACAAACCUAGGAAUCCAAUAAGUGAAAUGCCUGAAUCAAGAUUAAAAAAAAUCCAAAUAUCCAAUUACAUGAAUUCAAAAUCUGAGUGAAGCCAAAAAGUAACAGACUAAAAGUUUAAAAAGCCAAAAUAAAAUCUACCACACAAAAAAGAAAAAUAAAAAAGAGGAAGUAGCCUGAUCUAUAAUAGUGGUUUGUAGCAACAGACCUUGAUUUUUAGGGUAUGUACCAUCCAAAUUCGGGCCAAUGAAAAGUUGAUCUAGCAUUUCUGAUUUUCAGAAAGGAACAAUGGACGCAAACUCAUUUUCAAUAACCGUAAGACCUUCUGUUCUGUAGAAGCCUUAAAUUUAACUUUUCCCAUAUACAUAUUUCAGAAGUGUAGGUGUGGGGGCCGGCACUGUGGUGUAGUAGGUAAAGCCAGCGCCUGCAGUGAUGGCAUCCCAUGUGGGCACCAGUUCGAGUCCUGGCUGCUCCACUUCCAAUCCAGCUCUCUGCUGUGGCCUGGGAAAACAGUAUAAGAUGGCCCAAGUCCUUGGGACCCUGUACCCAUGAGAGAGACCUGGAAGAAGCUCCUGGCUCCUGGCUUCAGAUCAGCUCAGCUCUAGCCAUUGUGGCCAGGUGGGGAGUGAACUACUGAAUGGAAGACCUCCCUCUCUCUUUCUGCCUCUGCUUCUCUCCAUGUGUAACUCUAAAGUUUCAAAUAAAUACAUAAAUCUUAAAAAAAGAAGUGAGGUGUUCUCUAUAUUUUGAUGAGAAUAAAAUGUCAAAUAUAGGGUGUAUUUUUAUAUUUAAGGUAUUCAAUGUCACAUUAUCAUGGUUGAUGACAGAAUAAAUAAAGUAAUAAAGUUAAAAAACAGGAACCCAUGAUUGGAACAGCCCAUAGCCAAAGGAUAAGGGAGCUGCUAUGAAACCAAAACAAUAAAACAAAUAGGAAUCUAAAAGGUAAAAUGUCUGACCCAUAAUAAAAAAAAAAACACAUAUCCAAUUACAUGAAUUUCAU